GCGCCACCGAUAGUCGGCAGCGAGCGAC
rnacentral:sRNA from 1 species